GCGCGCCGCUCAGCCCGCCGCCGCCUCCCGCCUCAGGCCCCGGACCGCUCCGGAGCCAGCACUCACCACGGCCCGGCCCGGCCCGGCCCGCAGACUGCAGCGCUGUUGGAAGAUCCAGUUGGUGGAGAACACCUAACCCCUAACGCGGUGAAGCUGGAGACUAGUGUUAAACUGCAUGCUGCCUGUGGUUGCCAUUUGCCAGCUGAAACAUCAGGCCUUGAGUGUUUCAGGAUGCUUCUUCACAACCAUGUUCCUCGGGCAGACUACCAGGCCUGAUCUGCUCUUCUUUGGACCCCGUGCAAAAGAUGGAGAUGGAUACCGGCAGUCCAAGCCUGUCUCCUGGGCCCAUCAUUUCCAGCCAACUACAGGCAAACAGCUUGCUCCCUGAAAGCCAGCUUGCCUUUCCUACUUCUUAGAGAAAUCCUCACUGCCCAGGAGAAUGAACGUCAGUUCUUCACAGCUAUCGUCCCAGAAUAGCAGCCAGAGCUGCAGAAAGGAGACCAUGAAAACUCACCCAGCACCUCGCAGUGGAUGUUGUCCAGACUGUUUGGAGAGGUGGGCCAAGCAGUACAGCACCACAUGGAGGUUGUACACGGAGGAAAAUUAAGAUGGCUUCUGCAUGUAAAGCCUUACGCAGGUGAUAGUGAUUUGGGUACUGAUGUACUGCUGUCAACUGCAAGUGGUAGGACAGUGUAGGCUGCACUCAGUUGAAGUGAAGGUUCAGGUGGCAGCUUUGAACUAUAUGUUUCAGAAAGAUGUUUGGCCCUAACCUAAUGCAAAAUAGACUCCCCAAGUCAGAGGUGAGGAGCCUCAGCACUAGACAUUUCAGUCUGCUGGUCUGUUUCUGUUGCACCAAAUUAAUUACUAGUGUAGACGGUCCCACCACCUUGAGAAUUCUCAAACUUCCUGGACUGUAGCAUCUUCCUAGUAAGCAUGGACAUUGAAGACCUUACUACAAAUCCAUCUGGAAGCACAGCAAUGAGGGACAGUGCAAGUCUGAGGGAAAAAAAGAAAAAGCUCAUGUUCUUGCUAUAGGAAUCAUUCUGAGAGAGAGAAGAGACUACCUGCAGCUGCUAUUUUAUCACCUGGUAUUUGCUUGCUGUGACUUUAAAACAGUGGAGAAAAUUCAGGUAAACGGUGCAGCUGGGCAGUGCAGGAUGCAUUGCUGUGUGAAAAGGCAGCUGAAGAUCACCAAAAUAAUUUGGAGCAGCUUUGAUGACACAAACAUUACUGUGAGUACUGAUUCCAACAGGAGUGAAAACAUCAGAGGUGUUCAGCUGUGUUCAAGGAUUGUGUUGAUAUGGUCUGAUUUACAGCAGAGUAAACCAGCUGCAGAGAUAGGUCUUCAGAGGAAGAUUUCUUUGCGGUGGAAGAAUUAUACUUCCAGGUUCUGUUUUCUAUGCUUUGACUGCAUAAUAAAUAUUUUUUUCUUAGUUUGCUUAAUAUUCUUGAUAACUACCAGUUGCUGUGGAGCCACGAACCUUUUCUGCCUGUUAGCCAACUGCAAAUAAUUGUCCUUAAAAUCUCAUGCAAAAAGAGCAACCCAAAAGACCAACACGCAGA